rnacentral:rRNA from 1 species
UACGUAGGGUGCAAGCGUUGUCCGGAAUUAUUGGGCGUAAAGAGCUCGUAGGCGGUUUGUCGCGUCUGCCGUGAAAGUCCGGGGCUCAACUCCGGAUCUGCGGUGGGUACGGGCAGACUAGAGUGAUGUAGGGGAGACUGGAAUUCCUGGUGUAGCGGUGAAAAUGCGCAGAUAUCAGGAGGAACACCGAUGGCGAAGGCAGCUCACUGGGACGGUACUGACGCUGAGGCGCGAAAGCGUGGGGAGCAAACAGG